rnacentral:rRNA from 1 species
GAAUGUACUUCCAGAAUAAGUCUCGGCUAACUACGUGCCAGCAGCCGCGGUAACACGUAGGAGGCGAACGUUAUCCGGAUUUACUGGGCGUAAAGCGCGUGUAGGUGGUACUGUAAGUAGGGCGUGAAAGCUCCCGGCUCAACUGGGAGAGGCCGUUCUAAACUACAGAACUAGAGGAUGGUAGAGGGAGGUGGAAUUCCAGGUGUAGCGGUGGAAUGCGCAGAUAUCUGGAGGAACACCAGUGGCGAAGGCGGCCUCCUGGACCAUUCCUGACACUCAGACGCGAAAGCUAGGGUAGCAAACGG